GGAGUCUGGUCCGUGUCUCAGUACCAGUGUGGGGGGACCUUCCUCUCAGAACCCCUAACGAUCGAUGGCUAGGUGGGCCGUUGCCCCGCCUACUACCUAAUCGUACGCAUCCCCAUCCAUGAGCGGCCAGGGCCUUUCGUGUGAAUCAGAUGCCAUCUUCACACGGCAUCAGGCAUUAAUCCGACUUUCGCCGGGCUGUUCCUGACUCAUGGUAGGUUGGAUACGCGUUACGCACCCGUGCGCCGGUCGCCAUCAAAGUUUGCAAGCAAACUUCAUGCUGCCCCUCGACUUGCAUGUGUUAAGCCUGUAGCUAGCGUUCAUCCUGAGCCAUGAUCAAACUACU
rnacentral:rRNA from 1 species